AGAGUUGUAUCCUGGCUCAGGAUGAACGCUAGCGGCAGGCCUAACACAUGCAAGUCGAGGGGUAACAGGAAAGCUUGCUUUCGCUGACGACCGGCGCACGGGUGCGUAACGCGUAUGCAACCUACCUCAUACUGGAGCAUAGCCCUUGGAAACGGGGAUUAAUACUCCAUGGUAUCAUGAAUUCGCAUGUUUUCAUGAUUAAAGAAUUUCGGUAUGAGAUGGGCAUGCGUCCCAUUAGCUAGUUGGUGAGGUAACGGCUCACCAAGGCGACGAUGGGUAGGGGGCCUGAGAGGGUGGUCCCCCACACUGGUACUGAGACACGGACCAGACUCCUACGGGAGGCAGCAGUGAGGAAUAUUGGUCAAUGGAGGCAACUCUGAACCAGCCAUGCCGCGUGAAGGAUGACGGCCCUAUGGGUUGUAAACUUCUUUUAUAUGGGAAGAAACUUAUCUACGUGUAGAUAACUGACGGUACCAUACGAAUAAGGAUCGGCUAACUCCGUGCCAGCAGCCGCGGUAAUACGGAGGAUCCAAGCGUUAUCCGGAUUCAUUGGGUUUAAAGGGUCCGUAGGCGGAUUUUUAAGUCAGUGGUGAAAGCCGACAGCUCAACUGUCGAACUGCCAUUGAUACUGGAGAUCUUGAGUACAAAUGAAGUAGGCGGAAUGAGUCAUGUAGCGG
rnacentral:rRNA from 1 species